CAGGAAACUGGGCAUCUCUGUGGUCCCUGAGCAUCCCAGGAGGUCAAUUGUACAGAGACCUCUGGUCCCUGUCCCCAGUCUGCCUCCACAUCCCUGGAAUAGCCCCUCAUGGGCCCUUCAACCUUGGCAGGUGGACACCAUUCAAUCUGCCAGGGCAGGAUGGACAUGGCAGAGGAUGCAGAUACUUUGCAGGAGUGAGAGGACAUCAUUAUGAAGUAUGAGAAGGGACACCGAACUGGGCUGCCAGAGGACAUGGGGCCUGAGCCUGUUGGAAUUCCUGCAGCACUGAUCGCUUUAGGAUUGUGCAGGUCAGAACUGGCUCCCCUGCAGGUCCAGCCCAAGGUUGCUGUUAGGCCAGAGGUGCGGGGCCCAUCUAGGGAGCAAGUGGGAAUGGAGAGGGGGCUAGGUCAGGCCCCUGGACUCUCAGCAGUUCUGCCCCAAGUCAGCACAAGAGGAGCGGGGCAGCCUGAGGGUCUGGCCCUGUCCACUUGGAGGCAACACCAAGCUACAGCCCUCACUGUCCCCAUGGGGAAGGGGGAAUGGCAUGGGGACAGUGGGGGCUGUGGCCUUAGGGGAAUGGGGGAGAAGAUGGGCAGGGCCCUCGUUCUGGGCAUCUCACAACCGCCCCCCACACCAGGGGCCCCCAUUAACCUUGGCCAGGCUGGCCCUGCACUCCCUCUUUUCCCAGGUCCUGGACCCUCCUGGGAGUCAGCCACACAGAAAGGUCCUUGUCCUCCCUUCCCUGCGCCUUCUCCUGGGCUGAGCCCUGAGUUGGAUGGGGACAGAGCCAGUCCUUUCUGGGGAUUGGCUCCCAGACCAGGAUGGCUCCAGGCCCUGUGCAGGUUCUCAGCUCUGCCUGGACAGCAAUACAUUGAGACGGAACUGCCCUGUCAGUGCCCGGGAGGCAAAGCGAAUGCAGUGGGAGAUGAGAUGAAAGAGCAAGUGGAUGGAAAUGCUGGGAGAAUGGGAGACAUAUCAGAACAGCAAAAAACUGAUUGAUCGAGUGUAUAAGGGCAUUCCCAUGAAUGUCUGGGGCCAAGUGUGGUCAGUCCUCCUGAACAUCCAGGAAGUCAAGACGAAAACCCCCUAAAAUACAAGGUACCAGGUCAUGAAGGAGAAGGGCAAGAGAUCCUCUGAACACAUCCACCAGAUCGACCUAGACGUGAACUGGACACUAAGAAACCACAUCUUCUUCAGGGAUCGAUAUGGAACCAAGCAGUGGGAACUAUUCUACAUCCUCCUGGCAUAUUCAGAGUAUAACCCGGAGGUGGGCUACUGCAGGGACCUGAGCCAUGUCGCUGCCUUGUUCCUCCUUUAUCUGCCUGAGGACGCAUUCUGGGCACUGGUGCAGCUGCUGGCCAGUGAGAGGCACUCCCUGCAGGGAUUCCACAGCCCAAAUGGCGGGACAGUCCAGGGGCUCCAAGACCAUCAGGAGCAUGUGGUCCCCACAUCACAAGCCAAGACCAUGUGGCAUCUGAUCUUUCUCGGGCUCAUCCUGCGCCUGUGGGACAUAUAUUUGCUGGAAGGGGAACAGAUGUUGAUGCCGAUAACAAGCACUGCCUUUAAGGUUCAGAGGAAGCGCCACAUGAAGACGUCCAGGUCUGGCCUGUGGGCACGUUUUCGAGACCAGUUCUUUCAUACCUGGGCCCUGGAUGAUGACACUGUUCUUAAUCAUCUUUGGGCCUCUAUGAAGAAACUAACAAGGAAGCAUGGGGACCUGCCACCCCCAGCCAAACCCGAGCAAGGGUCCUCGGCACCCAGGUCUGUGCCAGCUUCACGUGGCAGGAAGACCCUCUGCAAGGGGACAGGCAGGCCCUUCCCGGCCCACCAGCCCAGUUCCAGCAGCCCAUUUUGUCAGCUUCCCUACCUCGUCCCACACCCUCUCCUAGUGGGGCUGUCCAUGAGGCCAAGGCCCCACCCGGGAGUCAGGACAUGCCCAGCCUGGCCCCGGUUCAGGGAGGACUUCGGCGUUCCUGGAGAUUCCUGGAGUGGAACUUGAUGCCCCAGCUCCCGACAGACCUGGAUGUGGGGGACCCUUGGUUCCCCCAUGAGGAUUUCAAACAGAGCUGCUGGGUCCGCACAAUUUCCCAGGAGGAUCUGCUGGCCACCUGCUGGCAGGCUGACCACACCACAGAGGGGUUGAGAUUGGCUUUCAGUGCACACAGCACUGCCUCCGAGCAGGACCCCCCAUUCAUAGCUAGGGACAAGCAGCAGUGCUCCCACCUCAGGGCCUUGGCUCUGCCACCUCUACUUUGAAUGUUCUCAGUUCCCUCCAGGCUUCUAGCAGCAUCUGGGCCAGGGCUUAUGGCUGGAUAAGCACCCGAGGUCCCAAACAAGUUUCCCAUCCUCGUUUUAUUUUUUGUUAAACUUAUGAAAAUUUAUUAAGAUAUG